GACGACUGGCAUUCAUCGUUUACGGUGUGGACUACCAGGGUAUCUAAUCCUGUUUGCUCCCCACACUUUCGUACCUCAGCGUCAGUAUCGAGCCAGUGAGCCGCCUUCGCCACUGGUGUUCCUCCAAAUAUCUACGAAUUUCACCUCUACACUUGGAAUUCCACUCACCUCUCUCGAACUCAAGACCAGGAGUUUAUGAGGCAGUUCCAGGGUUAAGCCCUGGGAUUUCACCCCAUACUUUCUGAUCCGCCUACGUACGCUUUACGCCCAGUAAUUCCGAACAACGCUAGCCCCCUCCGUAUUACCGCGGCUGCUGGCACGGAGUUAGCCGGGGCUUCUUUACUAGGUACUGUCAUUAUCAUCCCUAGCGAAAGAGCUUUACGAUCCUAAGACCUUCAUCACUCACGCGGCAUGGCUAGAUCAGGCUUUCGCCCAUUGUCUAAGAUUCCCCACUGCUGCCUCCCGUAGGAGUCUGGGCCGUGUCUCAGUCCCAGUGUUGCUGAUCAUCCUCUAAAACCAGCUAAAGAUCGUAGACUUGGUAGGCCAUUACCCCACCAACUAUCUAAUCUUACGCGGGCUAAUCCUUCACCGAUAAAUCUUUCCCCCGAAGGGCGUAUAUGGUAUUACUCUCAGUUUCCCGAGGCUAUUCCAUAGUGAAGGGUAUAUUCCCACGCGUUACUAACCCGUCCGCCGCUCCACCCGAAGGUAGCGCUCGACUUGCAUGUGUUAGGCCUGCCGCCAGCGUUCGUUCUGAGCCAGGAUCAAACUCU
rnacentral:rRNA from 1 species